CGUAGGAAUCUCCGUUACAUCCUCUGCAGUGAAGACUGAUGCAAAGAAUUCAUUUAGCUUCUCCGCGAUGGCCUCAUCUUCCUUGAGUAAUCCUUUAGUACCUUGAUCAUCUAGUGGCUCCACUGACUGUUUGGCAAGCUUCCUGCUUCUGAUGUACUUGCAAAAGAAUUUGCUGUUAGUGGCUUUUGCUAAUUGCUCUUCAAAUGUUUUUGUUUUGGGUCUGCCUAAUGCUGCUUUGUGGCAGCAGGGCCUGCCGCUGUCCCAAUCUGGGAAGGGAGCCAUUUUAGUUCCCUGCGAAGUAGGUUUGUGACGCUAGAUGCCUCCCCUUUAGAUAGGUAUCUCAUAGAAUUCUCCUUCCUGCCUUGCUCUGCAAGCCACCCCAGAAGGGAAGUGGCCUAUGAUUUGUCUCUGCCAUUGGGAUGUGGAAAGCGGUGUGUUUCCUUUCCCAGUGAGAAACGUGCUCAAGGGAUUUCCUGGGAGGUGCUAGGCAGGAUGAGCAAGUUCCAGCUUGUGUUCCUCAUAGGGAUUCCCAGCUGCAGCCCAUCCUCAGGGCUGGGGUGGGCUCCUCAUCUCUGCAUUGACUUACAUUAUCACCAUAGCAUCUGAGACUGAUGGGAAUGCACAACAACAUUAUAGCGUUGUUGUGGACUGUUUGCUUUGAACAGGCCUCCUUUCCUCAAACAUAUAUCACCCUAAGUGACCUAUGGUAAUGAGGUGAUGCCCCCAGCACAGCCAGCCUACAGUCCCUAAGCAUGAGUAUUUAGGGAUUGUGGACAGGUGCACCUCAACGGUCUCUGCUGUUGUGGUGAAGCAUGGAAAGGAACCCUCUCCAGGGCAGCCAGGCCCCCAUCCAUGUGGGUUGUUCGUGGCUCUUAUGUAGGUCUUGGCUAAUGCAGUGUAUUUCGGAGGAAGGAGUUUAAGUAGUGCCUGUUGGGCUGGUGUGAGCCUGGGGAAUGAACAAGAGGAGGAACAAACUGCUCUUCUUGGAGGCAUAAAAGCUGAACAGAAUCUUCUCCUGCCCCUCACUCUGAGCACCUCUGGCCCAGUGACAGCUUCUGUUUGCCUCCCCUGUGCUCAUUCUUGGCCCAAGGAGAGGCUGAGGACUGGUAAGAGGCGGGGUGUGUCAUGCUGAGAGGACAGGUAGUGGAGGGAGCAACCCGAGGUCUAAUGAUCCAAGGCCCUGACCCUGGUUAGCUAGAAAUGUUCCCUUCUUCUCAGUAAUACCUCCUAGUGGCCCAUCUGAAAUCCUGGGAUCUGGCCAUGCUGGGGAUUAGGCAGCAUCCUAAGGGUUAGUCACCCCUGGAGUAGGGUGAUUGUUGAUGUCUCCCUGAAGUAAGGCUAAGCAGACUGAUGGUUGUAGGGGAGUCUGGGGGCACUGGAUUCUCUUCUGCGCUCUGUGACGUGUUGCCUCAUGAGGGAUAUGGAGGCAGUGGGAAGUGAGUCCCUUUGAGUCAGUGCUGGGAAGGAAGUGCAGCUGCAGGCUUUGGAAAUGCUGCUAGCCUCUUUCUUACAAACAGCUGGCGUGAGCUGUGUCCCCACCUAACGGCUGCAGGGUUUUGCUCAGGGAUUGGCUUGGCUGAACGUGAUAAAUGCAGACUUUGGUCCCAAUUCUCCAUUCAGCCUGAGUUUCUCAUAACACACAAAGUGGGGAAGUAGCUCUGAUCUACCUCUUUAUGUCUCCCCAUAUCCUGGGAUGACCAUGUUGGCUCACCUUAGCUGGAGUGUAUCGGCCUUCCAGCCAUGAAUCUGUCCCCGGGCAUGCCCUCUGCCUUAGGUGUGAGCCCGGACACUGCAGAGAUGGCUAUGCCAGCUGGAUGUGGUCGAAGUAUUCCCUUCUGGGGAGGGCUGCAGCCAGCUAAAGGACUGAGGGCAAUGCAGACCUGGCCUGGCACAGUGGUCACUGGGUC